GACGAACCGUGCAAACGUUGUUCGGAAUCACUGGGCUUAAAGGGCGCGUAGGCGGUCGACCAAGUCCGGGGUGAAAUCUUUCGGCUUAACCGGAAAAGUGCCUUGGAUACUGGUCGGCUGGAGGGAGGUAGGGGCAGGUGGAACUUCCAGUGGAGCGGUGAAAUGCGUUGAUAUUGGAAGGAACGCCGGUGGCGAAAGCGACCUGCUGGACCUCUUCUGACGCUGAGGCGCGAAAGCUAGGGGAGCAAACGGGG
rnacentral:rRNA from 1 species